GUUUAAUGAAGCAAAUCACAAAUGAUAUCACAACACAUCCCAUUCCAAUAAUCAGGCACUGCACAGCAUCAUACAGAACAACUGAGGAAGAUGGAAAACCUCACGUUCUCUGUGCACUUGUGUGAGGGAACAUGGAUUAGGGGGCAAGGAAGAUUGUCAAGGCCCCACCAUUCAUAUGACAACAUUAUCCCAGUGAAGAACCGGAUAUCGAGGCCACAUCGGAUCAGAUGAGGCACGUCAGAUCCGAUGGGGUGGAGUGAUGCCCCAAUAUAUUGGGGCAGUGGGCUCGGUAUUGAA
rnacentral:lncRNA from 1 species